GUCUAUAUAGAUUCUUAAUAUAAAGUCUAACCUGCCCACUGAGUUAUUAAAGGGCUGCGGUAAUUUGACCGUGCAAAGGUAGCAUAAUCAGUAGUCUCUUAAUUGGGGGCUUGAAUGAACGGUUGGAUGAGAGAGAAGCUGUCUCUCCUGUAAAGUCGAACUUGACUUUUAAGUGAAAAGGCUUAAAUUAGCUAGGGGGACGAUAAGACCCUAUAAAACUUAAUAUAAAUUAUACUCUAUUCUUAAAUUAUAAAUAACCAUAAUAAAGUUUACUUUAUAUUUUGUUGGGGAGAUAUUGACAUAAAUUGUAACUGUCUAAUUUAAAAAAUAUAAUAAUUAUUAUAACACGAUCCUUCACUGAGGAUAAAAAGAAUAAGUUACUUUAGGGAUAACAGCGUAAUUUUUUCUGAGAGUUCUUAUCGAAGAAAGUAGUUGCGACCUCGAUGUUGAAUUAAAAUUUCAGCUAGGUGUAGCCGCUUAGCC
rnacentral:rRNA from 1 species